UGUAUGUUGCUUUUCUCGUUUUUCUCUUUCUACGGUUUUGACAGUCAAUGGAAACAUAAAAAUGAAGUAAAUUCCUCGAAUGUUGUUUUAGAUCACACGCUUUUUUUCUGCAUUCUUUUAAAUUUUAGUUUGGAGGCGAUAAACUUUCAACAAUUCACUACUAAAUUCAACGGAACUAUAUCAAGCAGAAGAUGGCAAAACGGAAAAUUCCAAACACAAAACACCGCUUUAGUGGUUGUUACCGGCAGAUACUGGCGCCUGCCGCGAAAAGGAUCGCAGGAACAUAAUAGGGAGCAAACAGCUGGCUCUUAUAUCAUGAAAGCGCAAGGGCCACUGACCAAUCCGGAGCAGGGAAUUGCAUUAGAUUGUGUUGACCAUCAGUUGCUUUGAUACCAGCAGAUACCGGCGCCCGCCGCGGUGAAGAUCGCAAGAACCUGGUUGGAACAACAACAACUGGCACUUAUAUAAUGAAAGCGUAAGAGCCACUGAUCAAUCCGCAUUCCGCAUCAGGCAUAUUGUGUUUACCAUCAGAACACCAGCAGAUAUCGGCGCCCGCUGCGGAUAAGAUCGCAAAAAUGUAGUAUGGAACAAACAAUUUGCUCUUAUAUUAUGGAAGCGCAAUGGCCCCUGACCAAUGCGCAGCAGGUUAUAGCAUUAUAGCCUAUUCAGAUUGGGCUAUUUAUGACUUUGUUAAGUGAGAGGGUAUCCAAUUAUUACGAGGUGUUCAGACUGCAGCAAGAUAAUAUAUCUUGACGUUUCCAUGUUUCCACAUUUCCACGCUAAUACAGGGUUGAACUCAAGGAGAGUUUUAAAAUUUAAUUUGCGAAAUCAAGCAUUUGUGUGGCGACAAUCGAACAUUUUUUUCUGAACAAAGUUUCUACGAAAAAAAAAUAUAAAAAAAAAAUAUGAAAAGGGAUUUUCGAAGAAUAUUUGAAGCUCUCAUUAAGGAUAAUGAGCGAAGCUACAUUCAUUAGUUGGGUGCGCCGUUAUUCGGGGAAUCAGACUAUUCCUCAAUUUAUUUUUAAGUUUAAAAAGUAUUUUGAUUCUGUACUAUGAUCGAACGGAGAUUUGAUAGAAAAAUUUAGAUACUUUUGGGAAUUCUCACAAAUAAAUAAAAAAAGGACGAUUGGACCAAUUUUCAAGAAAUAUUAUCGAACUAAAAUGUAUUUCCACCAGUAUCUCCAUGUAUGAAGGGCAACUCAGCAAUUUAAUUUUUUUUUUUUAAAAUGGAAACUGAACCAUUGCGUUCUACUCGACAAUAAAUGAUACAGCUUCUAACAAAAUCGAAUCGUGUGAAUGUGAUAUAAUUUAAACUGGAUUUUGGAUGAAUUAAUGCAUUACCAAUCCAUGUUUUAUUUAAGGUUAUUCUACUUUAUAUAUACAUCCCAUUCAAAUCGUACAGUUGUCCCAGGUGAAAAAUGUUGAAAUCCAAAGUAUAUUAAGCCAUUCAAGGAACAGAAUUGAAACAAUUUAUGAAAUCAUGUUUAUUCAUGAAAUA